rnacentral:rRNA from 1 species
GAUGAACGCUGGCGGCGUGCCUAAUACAUGCAAGUCGAGCGAACGGACGAGAAGCUUGCUUCUCUGAUGUUAGCGGCGGACGGGUGAGUAACACGUGGAUAACCUACCUAUAAGACUGGGAUAACUUCGGGAAACCGGAGCUAAUACCGGAUAAUAUUUUGAACCGCAUGGUUCAAAGGUGAAAGACGGUCUUGCUGUCACUUAUAGAUGGAUCCGCGCUGCAUUAGCUAGUUGGUAAGGUAACGGCUUACCAAGGCAACGAUGCAUAGCCGACCUGAGAGGGUGAUCGGCACCAGUGGAACUGAGACACGGUCCAGACUCCUACGGGAGGCAGGAGUAGGGAAUCUUCCGCAAGGGGGGAAAGCCUAACGGAGCAACGCCGGGGGAGUGAGGAAGGGCUUCGGAUCGUAAAACUCUUUUAUUAGGGAAGAACAUAUUUGUAAGUAACGGUGCAAAUCUUGACGGUACCGAAUCAGAAAGCCCCGGCUAACUACGG